GGCGUAGUGGCGGGUGGUCCGCACCUGCAAUAAAUUCGGCUAUGUCCCACAACUUACAUCUGCAGGAUUCGCUCGUUCGACUCGAGCCUGCGCCA